rnacentral:rRNA from 1 species
UAGGGAAUCUUCGGCAAUGGGCGAAAGCCUGACCGAGCAACGCCGCGUGAAUGAUGAAGGCCUUCGGGUUGUAAAAUUCUGUUAUAAGGGAAGAAUGGCUCUAGUAGGAAAUGGCUAGAGUGUGACGGUACCUUAUGAGAAAGCCACGGCUAACUACGUGCCAGCAGCCGCGGUAAUACGUAGGUGGCGAGCGUUAUCCGGAAUUAUUGGGCGUAAAGAGCGCGCAGGUGGUUGAUUAAGUCUGAUGUGAAAGCCCACGGCUUAACCGUGGAGGGUCAGUGGAAACUGGUGAACUUGAGUGCGGAAGAGGGAAGUGGAAUUCCAGGUGUAGCGGUGAAAUGCGUAGAGAUAUGGAGGAACACCAGUGGCGAAGGCGGCUUCCUGGUCUGUAACUGACACUGAGGCGCGAAAGCGUGGGGAGCAAACA